GAGAAGCUUGCUUCUCUUGAGAGCGGCGGACGGGUGAGUAAUGCCUAGGAAUCUGCCUGGUAGUGGGGGAUAACGUUCGGAAACGGACGCUAAUACCGCAUACGUCCUACGGGAGAAAGCAGGGGACCUUCGGGCCUUGCGCUAUCAGAUGAGCCUAGGUCGGAUUAGCUAGUUGGUGGGGUAAUGGCUCACCAAGGCGACGAUCCGUAACUGGUCUGAGAGGAUGAUCAGUCACACUGGAACCGAGACACGGUCCAGACU
rnacentral:rRNA from 1 species